CCCAGGCCUUCAGCUGGAGUGACUCAUUCCAUGGAAAGGAAGCACAGUCAUUCGGCUUGGAUCCUCAGGGGUGCUUACCUACUUCACUCCGGAUGGCACUGCACCCCUCAAAAUGCAGCCAGGAACACCGGAGAUCUGACAAUUCACUCAGUAUUCUGUAAUUCACCCGGCAGAAUCGCCCUUCCUGCUUGUGGGGCCAGGAGAUGGACAUGUGACACAGUUUAACAAAGGUCUGCUCAGCAGAAAAAUCCUUCGGCUGUGCGUGGCACGGUGCCAGUCCAGCAGUCCAGCGCCGUGAGAGUAAGGUGCGAACAGAUGUAAGCGGAGGGCGCCCCUGAGGACGGUGACACCCGGGGACAGCGCGGCGAGCGCUGCCGUGCGCCCCUGGGCACGGCCCGCAGCGGGCACGGCCGCGGCAAAACGCAGCGGCGCCGCCCGAAAGGUGGAAUUGAACCACUCUGUCGCUAGACAGCUACAGGUUUGAAGCCUG
rnacentral:lncRNA from 12 species